rnacentral:misc_RNA from 1 species
AAGUCGUAACAAGGUUUCCGUAGGUGAACCUGCGGAAGGAUCAUUAACACUUUUUUCGUUCCCUUGUUUUUCUUUGUAAAAAAAGAAAAUAAGGAACAAAAAUCAUCCAAAUACCCAAAUUGAAGUGCUGGUGGAGGAGCUUUUCCCCGUUUUCAUAGCGGGAAAAAGGUCCUCCCAUCCAUUUUUCUCUUUUCUCUUUCAAUUACAAAAACCCCAAUCUAAUUGCUAAUGCUAUGACAAAACACAAAAACAAAAAACUACUUUAACGUAACCAAACAACUCUUAGCAACGGAUAUCUUGGCUCUC